GUGCCAGCAGCCGCGGUAAUACGAAGGGGGCUAGCGUUGUUCGGAAUCACUGGGCGUAAAGCGUACGUAGGCGGAUCGUUAAGUCAGGGGUGAAAUCCCGAGGCUCAACCUCGGAACUGCCUUUGAUACUGGCAAUCUUGAGUCCGGGAGAGGUGAGUGGAACUCCUAGUGUAGAGGUGAAAUUCGUAGAUAUUAGGAAGAACACCAGUGGCGAAGGCGGCUCACUGGCCCGGUACUGACGCUGAUGUACGAAAGCGUGGGGAGCAAACAGGAUUAGAUACCCGUGUAGUCC
rnacentral:rRNA from 1 species